rnacentral:rRNA from 1 species
AUUGAACGCUGGCGGCAGGCCUAACACAUGCAAGUCGAACGGUAACAGAAAGCAGCUUGCUGCUUUGCUGACGAGUGGCGGACGGGUGAGUAAUGUCUGGGAAACUGCCUGAUGGAGGGGGAUAACUACUGGAAACGGUAGCUAAUACCGCAUAACGUCGCAAGACCAAAGAGGGGGACCUUCGGGCCUCUUGCCAUCGGAUGUGCCCAGAUGGGAUUAGCUAGUAGGUGGGGUAAUGGCUCACCUAGGCGACGAUCCCUAGCUGGUCUGAGAGGAUGACCAGCCACACUGGAACUGAGACACGGUCCAGACUCCUACGGGAGGCAGCAGUGGGGAAUAUUGCACAAUGGGCGCAAGCCUGAAGCAGCCAUGCCGCGUGUAUGAAGAAGGCCUUCGGGUUGUAAAGUACUUUCAGCGAGGAGGAAGGUGUUGUGGUUAAUAACCACAGCAAUUGACGUUACUCGCAGAAGAAGCACCGGCUAACUCCGUGUCAGCAGCAGCCGCGG